CCCUAGUAACGGCGAGUGAAGUGGGAAAAGCUCAACUUUGUAAUCUGGCUGUCUUUGGCAGUCCGAGUUGUAGUCUAGAGAAGUGUUAUCCGCGCAGCCCCUAAUAGAUUUCGGUUGGAAUGCCAAGUCAAAGAGGGUGAGAAUCCCGUAUUUGAUAGUGGGCUUGUGCAUUGUGAUACAUUUUCAAAGAGUCGAGUUGUUUGGGAAUGCAGCUCAAAGGGGUGGUAAAUUCCAUCUAGCUAAAUAUUGGCGAGAGACCGAUAGCGAACAAGUACCGUGAGGGAAGAUGAAAGCACUUUGGAAGAGAAUGARAUAGUACAUGAAAUUGCUGAAAGGGAAACGAGUGAAGUUAGACUUGCGCGGUUGGUAUUCAGCCUUGGCUUCGGUCUUGGUGCAUUUGCCAAUCAUUGCAGGCCAGCAUCAGUUUACUAUGCUGUAAAAGGGUGGAGGAACGUGGCUCUUCGGGAGUGUUAUAGCCUCCUUCUGGAUGCAGAACGUAGACGAGGAACGCAGCGCGCCAUUAUGGCAAGCUUUAAGCUCGAGCGCUAAGGA
rnacentral:rRNA from 1 species